CCAGCAGGUGAAAAGCAGAGACAUGGCUAGGAUGAGCCAAGCGCCAGCGCCAGCGCCAGUGCUCGUGCUCGUGCUUAGGGUUUAAGCACGGAUGCCGUGGCGUGUGUGGGGGGGGUGCUUUUGAUGACGAAGGCCGUGACGUGCGGCAUGCUGCCGAUGCUGGCCUGCUACCCGCUGGUGCUGCUACGGGGCCGACCCGUGGGUCAUCACAGCGACCCAUCUUUCGCCAGCCCUGCACCGCCGCCGCUGCUGCCGCCGCGUCACCUUUAGAGCUGGCGCAUGCGUUAUUAGACGGCACCGUCAUGGGCGCCGUCAUGAGUCCCCACUCGCGGCGGCGUGGAUGCUGGCACUGUACGACGGCAUUGACGAGAUGGCGAUAUGAUGACGAUGGCGGCGAUGACGGCCAGCUGCAUCAGGCCAACAGCAGCACAGCCAUCAGCUGCCGAUGAUGAUUAUGAUGAUGAUGCUGACG
rnacentral:lncRNA from 1 species